UGAGAUCAUGACCUGAGCCGAAGUCGGACGCUUAACCGACUGAGCCACCCAGGAUAAAUGCUUCUCCAUCCCGUCACUUUGAAUCUGCACACAUGUUCAGAUCUGAAAUGAGUCUCCUGGAGGAAGCAUACAGAUGGGUCUUGUUUUCUUAUCCGUUCCGUCACCCUAUGUCUUUUGAUUGGAAGCUUUAGUCCAUUUACAUGCAAAGAAUUAUUGACAGUGUUCUCCAGCUCACAGAGGGACCAGGAGGAAAAGGCCACAAAUGCACAGCUGUCCUGACUGCUUGUGGGUCAGUGUUCUGUCACCGCCUUCCGAAACUCACCAUACCCCACUUACUCGCCUGCGUGGACCGUCUGCUCCGGCCAAAGCAGGCACACUCGGGGAUUCACCCAACCCCAGUCACGGCUCUCGGAAGAAACACGACUGAAUGGAUUGGAAGAUGGAUGGGUAAGUGCACUGCACAAAUUGCACGGAUUUGAUCAGCUAAGGCUACAGCAAAGCUCCUGGAGGUAAUUACCAAGAGGGACCUGUGUACCACAGUCACGGACCUGCGUAAUGUGACAGGCAAAGGCCUUGCUCACAUUCGAGACCGUCCUAUGAAACUCUGUGUUUCAUUUGAUCACAAGCUGGCACGUAAUUUGGAAACAUGACCAAAUACGGUCUUCGACACGCCUUUCUGUCCUUUCUCCUGGUUUCCCUCCAUCUAAACCGGCAGGCAGGGGUGGGGAGAAGGAAAUGAACAGAUAAAA